UAGACAAAUAACAGUACUAAAGAUCAAUCGAAAUCAUCUUAUCUUAAUCUUAAUAAUAUACAAUAUACAAAGGAGGAACAAUUUUUAGACCUCCAAUCCAAUGUGUCAAAAUUCUAAGCCUCCAAUGCCAAAUCAUCAAAUUUUUUAAGUGCAUUUUAUCAUCACAUUUAGUAAUAGGGACCACAAAACCAUUUAAAUUUUCACAAUUAAAAAUGCAUCAAUAUUCACUUUAGAGCAUAAACAUUUUGAAGUGUUUAUUUCCCUCCCAAAAACAUCAUUUUCCUCAGACAUUCAUUGCACAACCCUGCUAUGACACAAGCUUCACUCAAUUCAAAUUCAAAAUUUGAUACGUCCCCUUAAAUCUCUCACUCUCUCCUUUUCCUCUUCUCCCCUCUUCUCUUUCAUUUUUCGAUAUAUUCAAACGCGAUUCUUGUCUGCCAAACUAUUGUUCAACAACAAUCCUUUCAUUUGAAGGUAAUCAGUAUCCAUUGAUAGUAGUGUUUAUGGUUUUUAUUUUCAAUUAAUGGUAUUCUGCAAGUAUUGAAUUCAAUGAUAAUAUGUUGCAAGUGUCAUGAAAUUAAAUUUAUUGAUGAUCAUAUGAAUAAGAUUGUUGUUGUGGUUGUGCUAUGUUGUUGUUGCAUUUUAUAAGAUGUUUAAAUCUAAAUAGCUAUUUACAUGUCAUUUACUUUGUGCACUUGAUAUAGUAGACUAAUGAUGAUAUUUGGUAUAGUUUUGAAUGCAUUUGGACCUAAAGUCACUGAAUUAUGCAAUGUACAAUCUAUAGUUCUGUAUCAUCAACUACAACUAUAUUUUUUUUAAACUUUAAUUUUUAAAUUGAAGUGUUGUAACUGAUAAUAUUUUGAGUAUAGAGGUUGUCUAUCAAUUGUAACAAUAUAUAUUUUGGGUUGAUUGAUUGAACUAUUUGUUUUUUUGGUUUCUUAGGAGAGAAAGGAUGAUGAAGAUGGUUCUGACAAUAAAGAUUUCAAGUCAAUGAUGAAAUGAGGAAGACCAAAAAGGUGAGCAAGUGAUGAUGGAAAGGAAAAUUCCGUUUCGAAGCUUCGUCUCAACAUAUUUCGUUUUCAUGAAUCUUCUAGUUUUGUAUCCUCCUGUGAAUGAUUGUUGGAGCAGUUAUUUGCAUGGAAUCACAAGGAUUCAUGGUUUAUCCGAAAUUGGAUGAUAUAAAACUGUAGGUCAGUACCAAUGUUUGGUUUUCUCCUGUCUUACUUCAGGGUAAAUGGAAAGCAAAUGUUGGUCAGCUUCAGCAGAAGGGACUGAUUGUUGUGUUUCAGCAAGAUAUGUGUAAGGGAUGUUCUGAAGAUUACCAGUGCUCAAGGAUUCCCCUGUUAUUUGCACUGGUUGUGUGGUUGGAAGCUAUUCCAAAGAUGAGUUCUUGGAGAGUUUCUCAAAGACUUGAUCUCUAUAUCAGCUUUUUGUUUAUUUACUUCCUUUAUUUUAUUUCAA